rnacentral:rRNA from 1 species
AGUAACGCGUAAACAACCUGCCCUUCGGAUGGGGAUAACAGCCGGAAACGGCUGCUAAUACCGAAUACGAUCUUUUCGUAGCAUGACGGAAAGAAGAAAGGAUGGCCUCUAUACAAAGCUAUCGCCGAAGGAGGGGUUUGCGUCUGAUUAGCUGGUUGGAGGGGUAACGGCCCAACAAGGCGAUGAUCAGUAGCCGGUCUGAGAGGAUGAACGGCCACAUUGGGACUGAGACACGGCCCAGACUCCUACGGGAGGCAGCAGGA